rnacentral:rRNA from 1 species
AGAUAAUGUGCCCCUUAGUUCGGGAUAGCCACUGGAAACGGUGAUUAAUACCGGAUACUCCUUCUUGUUAUAAGACAAGUCGGGAAAGUUUUUCGCUAAGGGAUCAGUCUAUGUUCCAUCAGCUUGUUGGUGAGGUAAUGGCUCACCAAGGCUAUGACGGAUAUCUGGUUUGAGAGGAUGAUCAGACACACUGGAACUGAGACACGGUCCAGACUCCUACGGGCGGCAGCAGUGAGGAAUAUUGCACAAUGGAGGAAACUCUGAUGCAGCAACGCCGCGUGGAGGAUGACGCAUUUCGGUGUGUAAACUCCUUUUAUUAGGGAAGAUAAUGACGGUACCUAAUGAAUAAGCACCGGCUAACUCCGUGCCAGCAGCCGCGGUAAUACGGAGGGUGCAAGCGUUACUCGGAAUCACUGGGCGUAAAGGGUGCGUAGGCUGGCUUUUAAGUCAGAUGUGAAAUCCAAUGGCUCAACCAUUGAACUGCAUUUGAAACUGAAAGCCUAGAGUUCAGAAGGGGCAGAUGGAAUUAGUGGUGUAGGGGUAAAAUCCGUAGAUAUCACUAGGAAUAUCAAAAGCGAAGGCGAUCUGCUGGGAUGAUAC